rnacentral:rRNA from 1 species
UAACGCGAAGAACCUUACCUGGACUCGAAAUCUGGUCGACCGCCUCAGAGAUGAGGUUUUCCCGCAAGGGACGGCUGGAUAGGUGCUGCAUGGCUGUCGUCAGCUCGUGUCGUGAGAUGUUGGGUUAAGUCCCGCAACGAGCGCAACCCUUACGCCAAGUUGCUCGCCCGCAAGGGAAGCACCCUAGGAGAACCGCCUCAGAUAAUGGGGAGGAAGGUGGGGAUGACGUCAAGUCCUCAUGGCCUUUAUGUCCAGGGCUACACACGUGUUACAAUGCAGGGCACAAACCGUUGCCAACCCGCGAGGGGGAGCUAAUCGGAAAAAACUCUGCUCAGUUCGGAUUGCAGUCUGCAACUCGACUGCAUGAAGCCGGAAUCGCUAGUAAUGGCGUAUCAGAUCGACGCCGUGAAUACGUUCCCGGGCCUUGUACACACC